UGCCUGGUGAGCACUGGACAAGGACAGAAGCCACCAGAGUUCUCCCACUGACCAGCUGGAGCUGCAUCCCAAGCACAUUCUAAAAGACUACUGCAGACUGCUUCUAACUUGAGAUUCUGUCCUUCUGGCAACGCGAGGAGGUCUGUCGAAAUGUAGGAAAGGGGAGCAGCCUGCACCCUCCGUCUAGGAACCUAUGGCGCCCAACCCCACCCUGAGGCGAAGACCCACCCCAGGCUGACCUCACACUACUUAAAGAAAAUGGCCUGGGAGGCAAAGAAAAUGAAGAUAAAAACAGCCACUAAACUCAGAAGCCAGCCAAUGUGCAGUCUUGCACGAAACAUCCAAAGACCAGCUACAUUCACAUAGAAGAGCAACAGCAUCAAAAAACAUAGAAC